rnacentral:rRNA from 1 species
UGGGGAAUAUUGGACAAUGGGCGAAAGCCUGAUCCAGCCAUGCCGCGUGUGUGAAGAAGGUCUUCGGAUUGUAAAGCACUUUAAGUUGGGAGGAAGGGCAUUAACCUAAUACGUUAGUGUUUUGACGUUACCGACAGAAUAAGCACCGGCUAACUAUGUGCCAGCAGCCGCGGUAAUACAGAGGGUGCAAGCGUUAAUCGGAAUUACUGGGCGUAAAGCGCGCGUAGGGGGUUUGUUAAGUUGGAUGUGAAGUCCCCGGGCUCAACCUGGGAACUGCAUUCAAAACUGACUGACUAGAGUAUGGUAGAGGGUGGUGGAAUUUCCUGUGUAGCGGUUAAAUGCGUAGAUAUAGGAAGGAACACCAGUGGCGAAGGCGACCACCUGGACUAAUACUGACACUGAGGUGCGAAAGCGUGGGGAGCAAACA